rnacentral:rRNA from 1 species
UACGGGUCCUACUCCUACGGGAGGCAGCAGUGCGGAAUUUUAGAUAAUGGAGGGAACUCUGAUCUAGCGACGCCGCGUGCAGGAAGAAGGUCUUCGGAUUGUAAACUGCUGUGGUAAGGGAAAAAUGCUAUGUAGAGUGGAAAGCUACAUAGAGGGAUGGUACCUUACUAGAAAGCCCCGGCUAACUACGUGCCAGCAGCCGCGGUAAUACGUAGGGGGCGAGCGUUACCCGGAAUCACUGGGCGUAAAGGGAGCGUAGGUGGCCUAACAUGUCAACUGUGAAAACCCGGAGCUCAACUCCGGACUUGCAGUUGAAACUGGUAGGCUUGAGGACGGUAGAGGAAGACGGAACUGCCAGUGUAGGGGUAAAAUCCUUAGAUAUUGGCAGGAACGCCGGUGACGAAGGUGGUUUUCUGGGCCGGUUCUGACACUGAUGCUCGAAAGCCAGGGGAGCGAACGGGAUUAGAUACCCCGGUAGUC